UACAGAGGUCCCAAGCGUUGUUCGGAUUCACUGGGCGUAAAGGGUGCGUAGGCGGUUGGAUAAGUCUGAUGUGAAAUCUUCGAGCUUAACUCGAAAACUGCAUUGGAAACUAUUUGACUAGAGGAAUGGAGGGGAGACUGGAAUACUUGGUGUAGCAGUGAAAUGCGUAGAUAUCAAGUGGAACACCAGUGGCGAAGGCGAGUCUCUGGACAUUUCCUGACGCUGAGGCACGAAAGCCAGGGGAGCAAACGGG
rnacentral:rRNA from 1 species